rnacentral:rRNA from 1 species
ACGCUAGCUACAGGCUUAACACAUGCAAAGUCGAGGGGAAACGGCAUUGAGUGCUUGCACUCUUUGGACGUCCACCGGCGCACGGGUGAGUAACGCGUAUCCAACCUUCCCAUUACUGUGGGAUAACCUGCCGAAAGGCAGACUAAUACCGCAUAGUCUUCGAUGACGGCAUCAGAUUUGAAGUAAAGAUUUAUCGGUAAUGGAUGGGGAUGCGUCUGAUUAGCUUGUUGGCGGGGUAACGGCCCACCAAGGCUACGAUCAGUAGGGGUUUUGAGAGGAAGGUCCCCCACAUUGGAACUGAGACACGGUCCAAACUCCUACGGGAGGCAGCAGUGAGGAAUAUUGGUCAAUGGACGGAAGUCUGAACCAGCCAAGUAGCGUGCAGGAUGACGGCCCUAUGGGUUGUAAACUGCUUUUGUAUGGGGAUAAAGUUAGGGACGUGUCCCUAUUUGCAGGUACCAUACGAAUAAGGACCGGCUAAUUCCGUGCCAGCAGCCGCGGUAAUACGGAAGGUCCAGGCGUUAUCCGGAUUUAUUGGGUUUAAAGGGAGCGUAGGCUGGAGAUUAAGUGUGUUGUGAAAUGUAGACGCUCAACGUCUGAAUUGCAGCGCAUACUGGUUUCCUUGAGUACGCACAACGUUGGCGGAAUUCGUCGUGUAGCGGUGAAAUGCUUAGAUAUGACGAAGAACUCCGAUUGCGAAGGCAGCUGACGGGAGCGCAACUGACGCUUAAGCUCGAAGGUGCGGGUAUCAAACAGGAUUAGAUACCCUGGUAGUCCGCACAGUAAACGAUGGAUGCCCGCUGUUGGUACCUGGUAUCAGCGGCUAAGCGAAAGCAUUAAGCAUCCCACCUGGGGAGUACGCCGGCAACGGUGAAACUCAAAGGAAUUGACGGGGGCCCGCACAAGCGGAGGAACAUGUG